CAUACGCAUGCAGCGUGUGCUGACACAGUGCCGAGCGCACGCAGUCAUCUUUGCCGAAGCGUACAAUGCCGACCAUCUCGUCCUCUUCGAACCGCGCCAGCGCGUCCGCGAGACCGGAAGGCACCCCAGCGGGCAAGUCGCACUGGGUAAUAUCGCCGUUAACAAUCACCGUGACAUUUUCGCCAAGGCGUGUC
rfam:Pantoea sp. AS1 26__len__173718, whole genome shotgun sequence.